UAUUUUGAUCGACAAAAUUCUGCAUAUAGCUCUGCAAGUUCUAAUUUUCCUGUUUUACAACAAGGGAAUAGAACUCUGAUCAAUUCAAAAAUUCAGGGUGAUGCAUCAUCCUCAUCGAAAGCUCUGAAUAUUGGUUCUUCUGUCCAUUUAAAAGACAUUCCUGAAAAUCAUCCAUUAUACAAACAACUGCAAUCUUAUCUAUCAGAUCAACAAAAAACUGCAGAUUCUUUUGCGUCCAUAGUUCAAGAAAAUUCUGAAGAUAAGCCUUCAUAUGAAAAACUGGAUGCUAGAGAACUUAUAUUAUAUAUUGAAAAUCAGCAUAUUCCCGGACAAGAAAAUUCUGAAGAAGCAUGGAGACUACUAAAAAAUUACCUUACUGCCAAUGUAUAUUUUGCUGGCGAAUCAUACAAAACUCGGACUUAUUAUGAACACAUAUUAGUGCAAACUUUCAGUGCAACCUUUGAUCACAGUCCCCUAGGAGAAACUACCCCAGGAGUUCAUGGAUACUCCAAAAUGUUUACCUUCAGUUUAAAUUCAUUUUUAAGUGUUGCUUUGAUUUUUUUUUAAACCUAAUUGUGUGACUUUUUGUGCAUAUUUUGUGGUAUUUUGAGAUUUUAUACUUAAUAUUUUUUAAAUAGAUUUAUAUCGUUUAAUUGACAUAAUUUAUGUUCAUUAGAUUGUGACCUGAUCUAGAAGAAUGCAGCGAGAUGAAAAUUUUCAAGUAAGAUUCGAAGCUUUGUUGUAUUCAGAAAAUAUAAUAAAAUUUAAAUUUUUAAUUUUUAUAAUUAUAAUUGAUUUGGAGUCGUGAUAAAAGCGUUUUGUUUUUUGGCAUUAUAUUAAUAAAUUAUUAAAAUUAAACAUAAAUAAAUAAAGUGUGAAGGUCCUCCUUAGAAAGAACUUAUUGUGAAUCAUUAAAAGACUCUACAAUAAAUAAAAUUGAUAUUUAUUAUUUUUCUCAAUUUUUUGUUUCAUUUUUUAAUUUUAAUUUAUGUUAUUAUAAUUAGUUACGAGUCAUAAUAAAAGUAUUUUAUUUUUUUCUUUUGAAUUAUAUUAAUAGGUUAUUAAUCUUAAUUAUAAAUUAAUAAAGUUUGAAGGUCCUUAAAACAAUAGAGAAAAUUAUUAUUUACUAUUUUUAUUUAAUUAUUUUAUAAUAUUUCUCCUAAAAUAUGUAGAAAUAAUUGUGAUAAAAUAAAUACUCUUAAACCAUGAAAGAUUAAGAAUUUGUAAAAUAUAUUAUAUUAAAGGGUAAUUAAUGUCAAUAUGAAGUAGUUGAUACGAAAUUUUUUUUGGAGACGCGUUAGACAUAAAAUAAUUGAACUCAUAAAUAGAAAUAUAGAAAUACAAAAUUAGAAGGUAGUUUCUAAGGGCUGAUGAUUUCUUUUUCACUUUUAAAGUUGAAACAUUGCUGUCUAAGGAAUGACUUUGUGGUACAAUCAAACUUAUGUACAUUGUACAACAUAAAUAUGAUUAUCUAGAAUUAUUUAGUUAAUUAGAUCUUAGUAUUUUGCUAUUUUUUUUAUUUCCUUUUUUUGUAAUUAUGUGUCUCACACUUUUUUUCUUUUUGAGUCGAGGGUCUAUGGAAAAUAAUCUCUACCUCACAAUAUAUAAGGUAAAAUCUGCAUACAUUCUAUAUUUUUCAGGCUUCAUUUUAAAAUUAAAUUGGACGUGUUGUUCUUCUUUAUUAUGUUGAAAUUAAAUUCUAUAUUUUUUAAAUUUCAUUUUAAAUUAAAUUGGAUGUGUUGUUCUUCUUUAUUAUGUUUAAAUUAACGAUAUUAAAUAUAAUAUUUACUUUUAUUUUAUAAAACAUAUUUAUUUUGCAUAUUUUAUGGAUUAACGUUACACGUAUAUUCAACACAUGUACACUUUUAUAUGUAACUGUUUUGUGUCGGUGUGAUACAUUUGUUAGUUACUUUGAGAAUUAUACUUUUUGUUAUUAAGGAUAAUCUUAGAUCAAAUAAUAAAUUCGUUAUUUUCAAAAACUGAAAUUCGCAUCUACUGUAAGCUUCAUUUUUAUUACACAUAAGUUAGAUAAAUUUUCUUUUUAAGUCACGUAUUAUAUUAAAAUAUUAUUAUUUUAAAUUUGUAUCUUACGAAAUGAACGGCGGCAGCCAAUUUAGUUACUCAUGUCAACAAAUUAGGUAAUAAGCUUGCAUAUGAUAGUGAUCGAAAAACUUAAAGGAAUUUAAAGAGUACGUCAAUCACCUCUCAAUCUUACAUUAAAUGAAUUUUAUAUUAAAAAAUAUUUGGAUUCUUUAUUAUAGUUAAUCCCUAAUUAAAAUGUUGAUUGACGUUUUUUGUAAAAAAAUACUCGACAUAAGUACACGCGCAAAGCAUAUACACUAAACUAGUUUUACCAAUUACGGAUAAUCCUGUUAAAUAACUAAUAAAGAUACAUUUGGGUACUCCUAAAAUUAAUGGGGUAUGGAACAUACUCUUUAGUCACCAUCAACUUAGUCCUAACCUAAUACAAAAAUAUUUUGUUUAGUCCUAAGGUAAAAUUACUAGUACAAUUAUACUCAUUAGUAAGUUUUCAAAUGGAAAAAAUUAUAACUUAAUUAAGAGGGCAAGUAAGCCAAUUAACUUUUAGUGAAUAUUUUGAUCACUCAACAUUGUCAUUCAUGCUUCUAUAAUAAUAUAAAUAGAUCAUUGUUCAAAAAUUUUGGUGAGUGUCUGCCGUCUUACCUUACAUGAGUUAGUAAUAGUUUCAAAAAAAAAUUAAAAAAAUAAAACACUAGCAUAUAUAAAUAACUAGUUUUAUAAAAUCCGGACUCAAACUCAAAUAAUUUAAUAUUUUAUACAGUAAUAUGAUUAAAUAUGUAAAAUAAUGACAACUUUCAAAGAUCAUAAAUUGAAAAGCGUUGAUACUUUUAUGAGAUUAUGAACAUACAUUCUAUAGCUAUAAAUAAAAAAUAUAUUUCUUAUAUUAAGUCAUAGUUUUAUUCAUAAUUUCACGUGACAAAAAUUUAAGUUAUUUAAUAUGAUAAUUUAUACUUAGUUUUACUUUAAAUUAAAAAAAAUUGAAUUCAUCAAAAAUAAACUUCGAAAAUCUAUCAGUUCUUAUAUUUAAUUUAUGCCUAAGAAUAUUAAUUCUCAAAUAAUCAAAAAAGAUAUUUUAAAAAUAAUUUGAUCUUAAUUGAUACUACUACCUUCAUUUUUAACUUUAUCAAUAAUUUUAACUUUCAAUAUUUGAAAGAUUUUAUGGAUAAUUUCAAAAGUAGGUCUAAAUUUUUUCGUAAAAAAAUUCUAUUCAAUUUGUAAAAAAAUAAUUAGGAAAUAUUGAGAAUCAUACUUAGCUCAUCAGAAAUAAAUAUAGUCUUACACAAUUAAUUAAAAGAUUUACCGAUUAGUUAAAUAAUUUUUUUUUAAAAUAAUUCAGUUAAUUGUCAGCCUAAACUCUCACCUUAUUGGCGAAGGUUUGAUUCUCCAUUUUAUUCCUCCCUAUUUCCUUAUUUUAAAAAAUAGUUAAGCAAUUAAAAAUUCAAGAAAAAACUCAAUAAUAAUUUCUCAUAUUAUAACAAACCACAUAUAAAGUCUCAUUUGACAAAUAAAGAAAUAAAGUAGUUUUAUCUUUAUCAAAUACAUGCCAUAAUUUUAGUGGAUUAAUAAAUUAAUUAAAAUUAUUAAAAUAACCUUUUGAGGACUACCAAAGUUUAUUAUUGUCUUUUAUAUAUAAUAGUAAAAAUUUAUUAUUCUCUCUUAUAUAUAAUAGUAAAGUAAUUUGCUUUGCUAUAAAAAAAAUAAAAUGCUAUCAUAAAUAUCAUAGUUAAUUUUUUCUUUUUACUUUUAGCAAAAGAAAAAUAAAAGAAAUCACAUCUAGGUAAUUUUUCUUGAAGGAAAAGGUUCUGAACUACUUUAAAUUAAGAACUCUUUCAUUACAACAAUAUAAUAUUCACAAUGUAAAAUUUAGUCGCAGAGAUAUUUUUAUAAUUAUUUUUUGAUGAGCUCUAAAGGUGCUAGCUCAAGGAGUACCAAAAAAAUGUGCUAAGAUCGCCGGGGGGACAGGGGGGACUCUUGGAGACUCCUGUAGGUAAUAAGAAACUUAUAAAACGAAAGUUAUUGCGUGUUAUUCUAAUAUCUCGAUAUCAUAUUGUUUUUUGUAAUUUUUAUUUUGCUAGUCAUAUUGUAGGUUAACAUUCGCUCUGACUUUGCGAUUUUUUUGUCUAAAGGUUAGGUUUAAUUAUAUCAUUCUAAUAUCUCAAUUAUUAUAGUUUCUUUUCAGUCACUAUCUGUUGUUUUUUCUGCUUAAUAUAGGUAGCGAUGAGUGUUGAUUUGGCUUUGAAAUUUUUUUUCUGUAAAUAUUAGAUUUAAUCAUAUUGUUUUGAUAUCUUGAUUAACAUAUUAUUUUGGUGUGAUUUACAGGUGGUUGAUGAAUGUUCGAUCGAAAUUUGAUGAACUUUAUGUAAAGUUUAGGUUGUCGAAUCUAUAUAUAAUAUAAAGGAAGGUCACAGAGAAAGUGACAUGACACCUAUUUAUGACCUUCAUUCCUAUUUUUCUAUUUUCUCCUUUUUUUUUCCUUUUUUAAUUUUUUAUCCUAUUUUUUAAUGCUGUAAUAAUAAAUGACUCUAUAAUUAAUAUUCCACAUACUAAUGAAAUACUUUAUUGUUCCAGCCACUUAGAUUCCUUAUUUAUGGAAGAAAAAGAAUUGAAAAAGUCUUUAGCAAUGAGAAGAAUAAAACCACAAGUAUUUAUACACCAAAAUAUUAGUCCAAUUUCGACAAUUCAGUCACACCCGUUACAUAUCUUAAACCCAUUUACCAACUACAAUUAAACCUAUUUAAUUUACAUUAGUCAUUCACUCAUAUUCUCAGUAAACCAAUAUCAAAGAAAUCCUUNNNNNNNNNNNNNNNNNNNNNNNNNNNNNNNNNNNNNNNNNNNNNNNNNNNNNNNNNNNNNNNNNNNNNNNNNNNNNNNNNNNCAAUUAUCAAGAAAUGAAUUUAUCUUUUUUCUUUUUUUUUUUGGGGGGAGUCUUUUUCCUUUUUAAGUGAUAAAAAAAUGAGUACUAUCCAUUUAAAAAAUAAUCAAACGUCGCUAUUAAAAAAAAACUGUCGACAUAAAUACACUUAAUUAGGGAUUGAGUUUAAUUUGCAGCAUCGUUUUCUUCUUCUUUUCCACUUCCUCCCAAGAGUCUUUUUCAGUUCCACUUCUUCUUGCCGUCGCCACAGUAAUUUCUUACUACUGUCUUUUCAUUUUAUCCCGAUCUUUUGGUCCACUUAAAUUUCUUCAAUGUGAUUUUGUUAUUGGCUUUAUUUCUCUCAUGUUUGAGAAACGUUUCAUGACAGCAAAAAAUUGACAACAAACAUUGACUUGUGUGCGCGAAUAGAAGCAGAAAACUAAAAAAAUUCUUUUAUGAAGUUUUGCUGAUUAAGAUUAUAUUGCAUGCAUAGGAAGCCAGCUUUACUCCAACAAGAGAGAAGACCAUGAGUAUGCUAAGUUUUUCUUUUUCUUAUAAGUGUAGACUAAAAUUCAUAAGACACCAUAUAAUCAAUAAAGACUGAGAGUGAAACGAGUGAGAAAACAUAGGAGUUUUAGUACUUUCUUGGACUUCCUUUCUAAUCUUUUUGUUAUUUUAUUGUACUUUUUGAAAUUGAUUAAAUAUUAUUUCUAUUUCUUUUAAAAAAAUUAUUCUACUUUUUGGAAUUGCUACAAUAUUAUUUCAAUUUUUUUUUUUUUUAAAUUUCAUAAGCAGUGUUUAGAGCAACUUUUUUAACUUGACAAUCAUAUAAUAAUAUUUAUUUAUAAAAUAGGAGCAAAAACUUAGUUGUAUUAUUAUUAGGAAUCAACUUAUGUGAUUUGGUAAACUCUUUACGAAGGAAUAGUCUGACCGAUUAUACCAAAGAUGAGAUGGAGCGAAGGGGAUGUUUGGGUUAGCUUCUUUGAAGUGAUUUAUAAGCUAAGAGUUGAAAGUUGUCUUUUUUUACUAUGUAAGAGGGUGUUUGGAUUGAUUUAUUUUAAGGGAUUUUGACUUUUAAACACUUUAUUUUAGGUUUAAGAAGUAUCCAAAAAUGCCAAAAAUCAAUGUUUUGUCUCCUUUCGGAUUUUAUUUUAAAGAAAAUGAUUUUGAUCCUUUUUAAACUAUUUCGAAAGAUUCAAGAGAGUUUCGAAAUAAUUUUUGACAAAAUUUAUAGAUUCGUCACUUGAUUUUUUAUCGAAAAUAUCAAGAAAAACUCUAAAGGGAUUUCAAAGAUUUAAAAAUAGUAAUAAAUUUUCGAAAUCAGAGAAACUGAGUUAAUGCCCUAAGAAAAUUUUUACGGCACUUAUAAGCGACCGUUUUAAAACAGUUCACCAAAAGAUUUAUUUUUGACUAAUUUAAAAGGGUAACUAACAUUACAAAAAGGAACAAAAAAAUUACUUGUAUAAAAUUAUUUAUUUACAUGUUCAAAAUUUGACUUCUUGUUUGUUUCAACGAAAAAUAGUCUACUUGAAUUAGAAAGAAGUUGCAACAUGUUUCGCUUGAUUUACUUAAUUCAUGAUUAUUUCUAAGAAAGGAUAUGAAAUAUCUUACUUGAAUUAAAAGAAGCCUAUCUAGACUAGGUGACACAUUUGAAUUUAAAAAGAAAAUAUGUUGAUUUUUAUGGGGAAAGAGGAUCAUAUAAUUAUUUAUUGUCAUAAGAAUGGUCAUUUUGUCAUGGCUAACACCUUUGAAAAAACAUUAAGAAAGUAUCAUAUUAAAACAUUUUAUCGAUGGUAGAAAGUUGAAAUUUACGAGAAAAUAACUUUUCGAGUUCGAAGAGAAUUAUAUGUUUUUUUUUAUCUAAAUAGACUAUUUAGUCGUGUGAACAAAACAAAUAUCAUUUGGACUAAGUAUUCAUUUUUUUUAUUUCUUUUUAUGAAUUAAGUGGGAAAAUUAUACGAUAAAUGAGAGAUUCGAGAUAAAUGAAAAGGCAAAAACGUGGGAAAUCACUAGGUUAAUUAAGUAGAAUCGUCAUAAUUUUAAUAUUUUUUUUAGGUACAAGCUAUAUCAUUUAAAUAAAUAUAAAAUUUGGAGGCAAAAAUCUACAAUAAUUGUUGUGAUAUAUUUUCUAAUAUAGUAUCAAAAUGAUUUUAUAAAAAUGAAUUCAUUGAAGCGAGGUACACGCACGGAUUGCGAAACCUAAACUAGUAUAUAUAUAUAUGUGUGUUAGCUAUAUGUUAGCACAUUUAAUUAAUAAAUUGGGUAAAGAUGUCUCAUAAUUAGGUGAUAAAAGAGUAAGACAAGAUAUAUGUUGGUAGGUAUGAAUUUGGUACACUGGUAAGCUUUUAUAGACGAGUCAACACACACAAUUUGCCAUUUUAAGGAAUAGAUACCCAACAAAACUGAUUGUUCCUGUAUAUGCCAAAGACACAAACUUUCUGAACCAAGUAAACAAAAGGCAUUACCAUUAAAAUGCAUGAAUCAACGAAUAAGCACACGAUACAAAUUCUACCCAACCAAAAAUAGGACUCCAACACCUUUCUAGCAUGCAUAUAUUGUACACAAGACCACAUUCCUAAAAAACAGAUACGAACAAAACUAGCAUUUCGUCAAAACGCAUAAAUCGAGAAAACUAAAUGCAAUUUCAACAUAAUAAUCUAAUUAAAAAAAAACAAUGCAAGACAUGUAUUUUCCUGCAAGUGAAGUAUUCAAGAUUUAGAGCAUAUAACAGGACACCACAUAACCACUGUUCUACCAUGAAUAUACUUUAACACAAAACCCGGAAAAGAUAAAACACACAAGAGAGAAAAUGACAUUCUUAGCUUUUGUGAGCAUGACAUAAUGGUGAACCAUACUUUCUUCAUAUAAUUCAAAACAACCCACAUACCAACAACGCACUGUCGAAAGUUUGAAAUUUCCAACAAUUCACACAUAAUCGAGAAAACUCUUAAUUCCGAUCGAUUCUACUAUCAUUACCACAGUCCAUAUCCACAAUCAUUGCAGCAUUUUCAUAUUUACGACAUCCAAACGUGAAGAAAAAGAAUGUAGCAAAGACGACUGUUCACCUGUUUUCGAGCAGCAACACCGGGACGAAGAGCUUUCAAUCGAAUGAGAUUCCACCACCUCGAGUUGAUUCUAACCAACAGAAUUUGAACGAGAACAUCGAAUUCCGAUAUUCCGACGGUCUUCGAGAAUUUUGGUUUCGUGAGGUUAAACGCAAGCACCUUCAGAACCCCUAAUUUUCCCCCAAAAUCCUCCUCCUUACCCCUUCUCCUUAGCAUCUAUUUAUAGGUAAUUUCGUAUUUUUUUUUAUUUUUUUUUUUUUGGGGGGGGGGGGGGGGUUGUGAUUAGGGCUUUGAAUUUGAACUUUUUUGGAAAAGUCAAGGGAUUUUGAAAUCCACAAUGACAGAAAUGCAGAGUGAAAUUUGCACCAAAUUGGUACAAAAUUCAGAACGGAAAAGUUAGAAGGCAAGAAAAGAGACCGGAUUUGGACAUUUAAGAAGGUGAAAUUCAAGCCAAAAAGAGGUUGCACACGGGGGUAAAUCAGUAAUAAAGGAAAGGGGGAACAACUGGGUUUUUUCUCGUUGAAGGCUAUUGCUGUUACUGCGUUGGAACUGUUGUUUGCGUUACAGCGUACAACGCUGUUUGUUGCUGGUGUACGCGUUGUUGAACGCCGUUGAUGUUGUCGGCUAUUAUGGUCGUUGUUGGUUAUUGUUUUGGCUGAGGCUGAUAACGUUUUGUACAGUGGUUGUUGUACGCUGUAUAAGGGAAAUUAAUGAAAAGGGGAAAUAAGGGUUUCGGCCAGGUCGGUUUGGUGGAUUGGGCUGGUGAGGGUAAGCUGCUGUUGUUAUUUUUGAUGGGAAUUGGGCUGUUAGCCAAAUUUCAAAGAGGAUUGGGUCGGGUUUAUAAUGGAGUGGGCUGGGGUUAUGGGCUGAUUAUGGAUAAUUAUAAUUUAGUCAAUUUAAUUUGAAAUCUAGCCAGAUUAAAAAUUAAUCUGUCAGUUGUAUUUAAUAUGGCCAAAUUCAAUUAAUCGAU
rnacentral:lncRNA from 1 species